GACGAACGCUGGCGGUGCGCCUAACACAUGCAAGUCGAACGAGCGAGAGAGAGCUUGCUUUCUCGAGCGAGUGGCGAACGGGUGAGUAACGCGUGAGGAACCUGCCUCAAAGAGGGGGACAACAGUUGGAAACGACUGCUAAUACCGCAUAAGCCCACGGCUCGGCAUCGAGCAGGGGGAAAAGGAGCAAUCCGCUUUGAGAUGGCCUCGCGUCCGAUUAGCUAGUUGGUGAGGUAACGGCCCACCAAGGCGACGAUCGGUAGCCGGACUGAGAGGUUGAACGGCCACAUUGGGACUGAGACACGGCCCAGACUCCUACGGGAGGCAGCAGUGGGGAAUAUUGCACAAUGGGGCGCAAGCCUGAUGCAGCAACGCCGCGUGGAGUAAGACGGUUUUCGGAUUGUAAAGCUCUGUGAUCGGGGACGAACGGUCCGUAAGCUAAUACCUUAUGGAAGUGACGGUACCCGAAUAGCAAGCCACGGCUAACUACGUGCCAG
rnacentral:rRNA from 1 species